GAUGAACGCUGGCGGCGUGCCUAAUACAUGCAAGUCGAGCGAACGGACGAGAAGCUUGCUUCUCUGAUGUUAGCGGCGGACGGGUGAGUAACACGUGGAUAACCUACCUAUAAGACUGGGAUAACUUCGGGAAACCGGAGCUAAUACCGGAUAAUAUUUUGAACCGCAUGGUUCAAAAGUGAAAGACGGUCUUGCUGUCACUUAUAGAUGGAUCCGCGCUGCAUUAGCUAGUUGGUAAGGUAACGGCUUACCAAGGCAACGAUGCAUAGCUGACCUGAGAGGGUGAUCGGCCACACUGGAACUGAGACACGGUCCAGACUCCUACGGGAGGCAGCAGUAGGGAAUCUUCCGCAAUGGGCGAAAGCCUGACGGAGCAACGCCGCGUGAGUGAUGAAGGUCUUCGGAUCGUAAAACUGUGUUAUUAGGGAAGAACAUAUGUGUAAGUAACUGUGCACAUCUUGACGGUACCUAAUCAGAAAGCCACGGCUAACUACGUG
rnacentral:rRNA from 1 species